GGCGCUAUAGCCAAGUGGUUACGGCGACAGAUUCGAAUUCCCGAAUUACCCAUCUGUUCCUCUUUGAGGGCGCAGGUUCAAAUCCUGCUGGCGUCG